CUGUUUGUAAUAUAUCAAGGAGCUAUACUCACAACACCAGUCAUGGGAUAGUUGCCAGUUCGUGUCUCAAGUGUCGUUGCAGCCAGAUUUCGGGAGGACCAAGCAUUCCAGCUCUGACCAUUCCACAGGGAGGUUAGUGGGACGUCUCUAUCGAAGGGUGUAGUACCUAGGAAGUACCACAUAGGACACUCGGCACCUGAUUUCCAAUGAUGACAAGGUCACACUGCUCAGCUAUCAAGCUGUGCUUGCUGACAGCGGCAGUGCUUUUGCUGACCUUCAACGCGGUCAGUUCGCCAGUCACUGACCCCUGUCCAUCGGCGGAUUUUUCUGGACACAGACACGCCCGUUCGUACUACAGUACGUCAUUCCCUUGCGGCUACUACAGCAACCAAUGGCAUUCCGUGCCUUAUGGCUACUACAACAACCGCUUCAUCUACAGGAAUCCUGCGCCCUAUGUCUACUACAACCACUUCGCCUACAAGAAUCCCGUCCAUUACGAACACGGUAGCAAACCUCUCCACAAGAAAGGGUCAGGAAGAAGCCGAAACGAAGGCCCAGGCCCUACUUCCUAGGCAACAGGAGGCUGCUCGCCAAUAGAGGCCGCUGGGACGAUAAGCUUUAGUUUUGUUUACGUUUUUCUAUGACUUCUUCUUCUUCUUCUUCUAGUUUCCAUCCGUCGUUAAAAGGGGCGUUUCGCGAUACGUUCCCUCAAAUCUGCGUUAUUAUUUAAUUUUUAAAAACUGCAAAAAUCAAUAAAAAGUAUAAAGGAAGA